rnacentral:rRNA from 1 species
AUUGAACGCUGGCGGAAUGCUUUACACAUGCAAGUCGAACGGCAGCACGGACUUCGGUCUGGUGGCGAGUGGCGAACGGGUGAGUAACAUAUCGGAACGUAUCCAAUAAUGGGGGAUAACGAGUCGAAAGCUUCGCUAAUACCGCAUACGCCCUACGGGGGAAAGCUGGGGACCUUCGGGCCUGGCGUUAAUGGAGCGGGCGAGAUCUGAUUAGCUAGUCGGUGAGGUAAAGGCUCACCAAGGCGACGAUCAGUAGCUGGUCUGAGAGGACGACCAGCCACACUGGAACUGAGACACGGUCCAGACUCCUACGGGAGGCAGCAGUGGGGAAUUUUGGACAAUGGGCGCAAGCCUGAUCCAGCCAUUCCGCGUGUGUGAAGAAGGCCUUCGGGUUGUAAAGCUCUUUCGCAAGGGAAGAAAACUUAGCCACUAACAUUGGUUGAGGUUGACGGUACCUUGAUAAGAAGCACCGGCUAACUACGUGCCAGCCGCCGCGGUAA